GGAGGGUGUGACUAGUGACAGAGUGAGGGAGGGAAGGGGUGACUAGUGAGAGUGAGGGAGGUGGUGAUUAGUGACAGAGGGAGGAAUGGGGUGACUAUCACUGUGUCACCCCCUUCCUCACUCUGUCACUAGUCACCCACUCCCUCCCUCACUCGGUCACUAGUCACCCCCUCUCUCACUCUGUCACCAGUCAUUCCCUCACUCUGUCACCAGUCAUCCCUUCCUUCCCUCACUCUGCCACUAGUCAUCCCUUCCCUCAC